UCUGAGUCGAGGUCGGGGUCGUCUUGGUAGGAUCCUGAUUUAGGAUCAAUUUCGAGGUCUGAGUCUGCAUCUGCAUUAGUUGAGCCACCUGGGCACUCAACUCGGCUAUGGUUGGUUGAGAAGGAGAGGAGGAAGCAGUGGUGCUACCGCCAUGAGGAUUAGAAGAGUCAUCCUCCCCCAUGGUGGCGGCUAGGGUUUAGAAACUAGAGUCAGC
rnacentral:lncRNA from 1 species